ACUAUUGUCACGGGUUACCGCGGCUGCUGGCACGGAGUUAGCCGGUGCUUCUUCUGUGAGUGAUGUCCUUCCUGCCGGCUAUUAACCCGCAGGCCUUCUUCCUCACUGAAAGUGCUUUACAACCCGAAGGCCUUCUUCACACACGCGGCAUGGCUGGAUCAGGGUUGCCCCCAUUGUCCAAUAUUCCCCACUGCUGCCUCCCGUAGGAGUCUGGGCCGUGUCUCAGUCCCAGUNUGGCUGAUCAUCCUCUCAGACCAGCUACGGAUCGUCGGCCUUGGUGAGCCGUUACCUCACCAACCAGCUAAUCCGACAUAGGCUCAUCCGAUAGCGCGAGGCCCGAAGGUCCCCCCGCUUUCCCCCCGUAGGGCCGUAUGCGGUAUUAGCCUGGGGUUU
rnacentral:rRNA from 1 species